AUUGAACGCUGGCGGCAGGCCUAACACAUGCAAGUCGAACGGUAACAGGAAGAAGCUUGCUUCUUUGCUGACGAGUGGCGGACGGGUGAGUAAUGUCUGGGAAACUGCCUGAUGGAGGGGGAUAACUACUGGAAACGGUAGCUAAUACCGCAUAACGUCGCAAGACCAAAGAGGGGGACCUUCGGGCCUCUUGCCAUCGGAUGUGCCCAGAUGGGAUUAGCUAGUAGGUGGGGUAACGGCUCACCUAGGCGACGAUCCCUAGCUGGUCUGAGAGGAUGACCAGCCACACUGGAACUGAGACACGGUCCAGACUCCUACGGGAGGCAGCAGUGGGGAAUAUUGCACAAUGGGCGCAAGCCUGAUGCAGCCAUGCCGCGUGUAUGAAGAAGGCCUUCGGGUUGUAAAGUACUUUCAGCGGGGAGGAAGGGAGUAAAGUUAAUACCUUUGCUCAUUGACGUUACCCGCAGAAGAAGCGCCGGCUAACUACGUG
rnacentral:rRNA from 1 species